rnacentral:rRNA from 1 species
AUUGAACGCUGGCGGCAGGCCUAACACAUGCAAGUCGAGCGGAGCGGCAGACGGGUGAGAAAUGCCUAGGAAUCUGCCUGGUAGUGGGGGAUAACGUCCGGAACCGGGCGCUAAUACCGCAUACUAUCAGGUGGGCCUCGGUCGGAUUAGCUGGUUGGUGGGGUAAUGGCCUACCAAGGCGACGAUCCGUAACUGGUCUGAGAGGAUGAUCAGCCACACUGGAACGGAGACACGGUCCAGACUCCUACGUGAGGCAGCAGUGGGGAAUAUGGGACAAUGGGCGAAAGCCUUAUCCAGCCAUGCCGCGUGUGUGAAGAAGGUCCUCGGAUUGUAAAGCACUUUAAGUUGGUAGGCGUUACCAACAGAAUAAGCACCGGCUAACUUCGUGCCAGCAGCCGCGGUAAUAC